UGGGUGUCCUGCCCGGGAUGCCAUCCCCAGGCUAGGCUGGCGCUCAUGCCCAUGCCCUGCUGUCCACUGACACCCCGCAGAGCUUAACACCCCGCUGAGCCUGCCCUGCAGCCCUUGCCAAGUCUGUCCGAGGGGAAUGAAAUGAAAGAACGAAGAGGAAAAUCUUAACCUGUACAGCCUCUUGGAUGAUGGGGUGGGAAGUAAAGACCUGUCCCCCAGUUUCCUGCUGCCUGGAGAAAUUCUUCAGCCCACCAAGGCCAGAUUUGUCUUGCAAAGUGGCAUCAUUAUAAACGCAUCAGCCUCCUCUGGAUGCCUGUGCCUGCUC
rnacentral:lncRNA from 1 species